GACGUAGGGCGCGAGCGUUGUCCGGAUUUAUUGGGCGUAAAGAGCUUGUAGGCGGUUUGUCGCGUCUGCCGUGAAAAUUCGAGGCUCACCUCGAACUUGCGGUGGGUACGGGCAGACUAGAGUGUGGUAGGGGAGACUGGAAUUCCUGGUGUAGCGGUGAAAUGCGCAGAUAUCAGGAGGAACACCGAUGGCGAAGGCAGGUCUCUGGGCCACUACUGACGCUGAGAAGCGAAAGCAUGGGGAGCGAACAGG
rnacentral:rRNA from 1 species